rnacentral:rRNA from 1 species
UAGGGAAUCUUCGGCAAUGGACGAAAGUCUGACCGAGCAACGCCGCGUGAGUGAAGAAGGUUUUCGGAUCGUAAAACUCUGUUGUUAGAGAAGAACAAGGACGUUAGUAACUGAACGUCCCCUGACGGUAUCUAACAAGAAAGCCACGGCUAACUACGUGCCAGCAGCCGCGGUAAUACGUAGGUGGCAAGCGUUGUCCGGAUUUAUUGGGCGUAAAGCGAGCGCAGGCGGUUUCUUAAGUCUGAUGUGAAAGCCCCCGGCUCAACCGGGGAGGGUCAUUGGAAACUGGGAGACUUGAGUGCAGAAGAGGAGAGUGGAAUUCCAUGUGUAGCGGUGAAGUGCGUAGAUAUAUGGAGGAACACCAGUGGCGAAGGCGGCUCUCUGGUCUGUAACUGACGCUGAGGCUCGAAAGCGUGGGGAGCAAACAGG